rnacentral:antisense_RNA from 1 species
GGAAAGCCUAGACAGACUGAGUGAUAGCCCCUCGUCAAGGUGACAUUUAAGCCAAGAGAUGAAGAAUGAAAGAAGGGGAGGCCACAUGAAAAAGGCAAGCCCUGGAAUAGUGAGAACAGAAGCUUUGGAGGUGAUGAGCCCGGUGUGUUCUGGGAAUUGAUGAAAGAGUCGGAGUGACUGGGACCCGUAGGGGUGGGAGGUUCAGGAAAUGAGUGUGGAGAAAGAGACACAAGGCCUUCAAAGCAGAUUAAUAAGGGGUGUGGCUUCCACCUAGACUUCAGUGACACUGCUAAAUGGCAGAGCUGUUCUAAGUGUUUUAUCUGUAUGAACUGUGCUUCAGUGAGUUUUGGUUGUAAGCCCUGUUUUACAGAGAUGGCAAUUAAUUAAUUAAGACCCAACGUACUGAAUCAGCUUGCCUCAGGGUCCCUUGGCUGAGCCAGGAUCACUCCUCUAUGUUGUCUUUCAAGAUAUGUAGAAAGAAAUCCUUUAGAAAGGCAAAUGUCGAUUUCUAAUGCAGACAAAACAUAACUAACUGCACUAAGUGGUCAUCAUAGGCUCAGUUGUCUCAAUUUUGUGGUACUGGGUCAGUUUCUCUGUUUUAGGUUUGGAUUCCCUGCAUACAGACACUUUAGAAGUGAUGGCACCUCUCCCAACAUCCCCAUGCCCC